AGUGGAUAUAUCACCGUAGACUCUCUUCAAUCUCCCAACCAUAAGCUGAGUGGUUGGGCAAGUUUCUUUCGGCGUCUGUAGAAAUGCGUCAGUGGCGGUCUGAACCUGGCGUCCUCAUCAACUCCCCUUGGGUGGACGGGAGGCGAUCUGGACCAAGAAAGAUCCUGCUGACUCCGAUAAAGCUCUAGCAAAUCUGGAUCCAAAUGUUGUAGUGUCUCCCUGGAGAUCCAUGCACAAUCAGAAUCAAGUCGACCAACCCAACGAACAAGGAAGCGCUGAACCUCUCCAUCAUUAGUGAACACAGUUUCUUCAUCUAAAAUAGCAUCAAUUUUAUCUGUGUGUGCUGUGAGAGGUGGUAGUGGGUUAGAGGGGGCCAAAAAAUUAGGAUCAAGGUCCACAAAAGGAGGUAACGGGGGAUCAUCUGAGGGAAUGAAAUGGCCUUUAUAAGCUACAAGGUCUUCAACAUUGAAAGUAUGGUGGUAACCAAUGUGUGAUGGAAUGUCGACAAUAUA
rnacentral:lncRNA from 1 species